rnacentral:rRNA from 1 species
UGGGGAAUUUUGCACAAUGGGGGAAACCCUGAUGCAGCGACGCCGCGUGAUUUAGAAGGCCUUCGGGUUGUAAAAAUCUUUUUUACGGGAUGAAAAUGACAGUACCGUAAGAAUAAGGUCCGGCUAAAUACGUGCCAGCAGCCGCGGUAAUACGUAUGGACCGAGCGUUGUCCGGAAUCAUUGGGCGUAAAGGGUACGUAGGCGGCCUAGUAAGUUAGAAGUGAAAUAAUAUAGCUCAACUAUAUAAAGCUUUUAAAACUGCUAGGCUUGAGAGAUGGAAGGGAAAGUGGAAUUCCUAGUGUAGCGGUGAAAUGCGCAGAUAUUAGGAAGAAUACCGGUGGCGAAGGCGGCCCCCUGGACGAAGACUGACGCUCAGGUGCGAAAGCGUGGGGAGCAAACAGG